AUGGCGCCUCCUCCAACGGAAGGGCAGCUCCGGCAUGGAUCAGAGGAUACUGAGAUCCUCUGCCUUUCUGUUCACGGAGAAGGCCACCCCAGCGUUUGCACGGAUCAGCCGUCAUCCCUAGGCGGCCCCGCGGCCCAAAUUACAGAACCCCGUGAUGACCAUGCGCUCGUGUCCACAGAAUCAGAUCGGUUUUCCUUGCGCGCUCUUGAGCUCGUGAGCGCACAGUUGGACAGCGACGACCAGUGCCAUGCCGAACUGAUGGAGGAGGACAGCGAUGACAAGGAUGGUAGCCAUGACGAGGAGGACAGCGAUGAAUCUGAUGCCCAAACGGCAGACGAGAACAGUGAUGAUGAGGAGGUUAGGGAUGAAUACUAUGCCCAAGUGAUUGGCCAGGACAGCGAGACAAAUUGCCCAGGAAAAAAAUACUCCGAGGAAGAAGCGGAUGAAGUAGUGUCCAGAUGGUUGCGCAGUUUCAACAAAGCGUAUGGAGACUGCUUGAACCUGCGUUUGGAGAUUCUAGCCCGGGGUGAUAAGAAUGCUUGUCUUCCUUCUUUUCCUUUGAAAGUACUCCCCGUGGUAACAAGUCUACGCAUUACAAGCAACAUCUGCUACCACCGCGAAUACAUGACCCAUGACACUUCCACGACUGCAUCAAUUCUUGGGUAUCCCAAUCCAAGAACCAUGCUGCAGGUCUUCUCUUUGCGCUUGGCAAGCUAUGAAUCCUAUCCCGUUAGUGUUUAUGGAAUUUUCGCUGUUAGAGAUGUUCUGGAACCACGGCGGAAUCUUAUCUUUAACCAUCGGAGAGAGGAUGCUGUCACAAUUGAGCAGGAUUUUUUCACCUUACCUCUUUGUAGCCCCUGUCGAGGGAUGUAUGCACCGGAUCAGGCAUUACUGGAAGUUGAUCUAUGGGUGAAGGAGGGAGAUGGAUCGCCUGACGAACAGUUGCUCUCUGCGUAUGUUGAGAUUUAUUUCCAGUCACGUUUUGAUGAGAUGCGAACAGGACGGAUUCCAGGUGACAGUUGCAGCUUGGAGAUAGACUUCAUGUUCCUUUCACUGAGUGUUGAGGCUGUGAUACAAAUCUUUGCAAAGGUUGACCAUCCUCAUCAUUUGAGAUUUACCUCUUUCAGCAGUGGCUUUGAUCAUGAGAUUGUGCUGUUUGGUGACAAAUUCGUUGGGAGCGGGAGCCUAAACCAACAUGUCGUCGCCGUGAGGGAGAAGGGGAAAUUGGAUGUUCGCUUACAAGUGGAGAAAAUGGUGUUUCAAUGGACUUUCCAAGAUGGGGUGGCUGCAACUAUUAGUUCUCCAAACGACUCGAUCCUAGAGUAUGGUCAGUUUGUUGUGAGGGUGUUAUUUGCUCCAAAGGACUUGCAACCAGUUAGACGACAUGGCUACUGA
rnacentral:rRNA from 1 species